rnacentral:rRNA from 1 species
CCUACGGGGCGCAGCAGUGAGGCAUAUUGGUCAAUGGGCGGGAGCCUGAACCAGCCAAGUCGCGUGAAGGAAGAAGGUACUUAGUAUUGUAAACUUCUUUUGUCGGGGAACAAAGGCGGAGACGCGUCUCCGGAUGAGUGUACCCGAAGAAAAAGCAUCGGCUAAAUCCGUGCCAGCAGCCGCGGUAAUACGGAGGAUGCGGGCGUUAUCCGGAUUUAUUGGGGUUAACGGGUGCGAAGGGGGAAGAUCAAGUCAGCGGUAAAAUGUCGGGGUUCAACCCCGGCCGGCCGUUGAAACUGGUUGGCGAGAGUGGGAGAGAAGUAGGCGGAAUUCGUGGUGUAGCGGUGAAAUGCAUAGAUAUCACGAAGAACGCCGAUUGCGAAGGCAGCAUACCGGCUCCAUACUGACGCUGAGGCACGAAAGCGUGGGGAUCGAACAGGAUUAGAUACCCGGGUAGUC